rnacentral:rRNA from 1 species
AUUGAACGCUGGCGGCAGGCUUAACACAUGCAAGUCGAGCGAGCGGCGGACGGGUGAGUAAUAUAUGGGAAACUGCCUGAUGGAGGGGGAUAACUACUGGAAACAGUGGCUAAUACCGCAUACCAUCAGAGGUGCCCAGAUGGGAUUAGCUAGUGGGUGGGGUAAUGGCUCACCUAGGCGACGAUCCCUAGCUGGUCUGAGAGGAUGACCAGCCACACUGGAACUGAGACACGGCCCAGACUCCUACGGGAGGCAGCAGUGGGGAAUAUUGCACAAUGGGCGAAAGCCUGAUGCAGCCAUGCCGCGUGUGUGAAGAAGGCCUUCGGGUUGUAAAGCACUUUUAGCGAGGAGGCGGUAUCUGCAGAAGAAGCACCGGCUAACUACGUGCCAGCAGCCGCGGUAAUAC